CAUGGGCAAACCUGUUGAAAAACAGGGACGCAAAGCUUUGGAGUCUAAAGUAUUACAUACUAUGACCGUUCGGCUGCAA
rnacentral:ncRNA from 1 species